UAGGCAAGGGAAGUCGGCAA
rnacentral:snRNA from 1 species